UCAAAAUAUUUUAAUCUUCCUCAACAUCAACAAGGUAUCAAUGCAUUGAACCAUAACCAACUCGACAUUUAGACAAGGAUAUGAAGACUCAAUACAUAAUAUUUUCAACAAUUUAACUCAUCAAAACCAUCCGAAAAAUACCAAGACUCAUUGCAACUUCAAUAUCAACAUUUCUCAAUUUGUCAUCCAACUCUCAUUUAAAGGUACUUGAGACAUCAACCCAUAGUAGGGAUAUAGAAUUUCCAAUAUCAAUUAUA
rnacentral:lncRNA from 1 species